GGGCGUGUAGCUCAUUUGGUAGAGCGCUCGCUUAGCAUCUGUGGGUACUCCCUAUCUGGGGAGUUCCGCUCCUACAAUGGUUUGCGAGAGGUACUGGGUUCGAUUCCCAGCUCGUCCA
rnacentral:tRNA from 1 species